rnacentral:lncRNA from 1 species
UUCUGUCUAUUUUUUCACUUAUUUUUCUUUUGGAGAAAUCUUAGAAACCCUAACACGUGCUCCUGGCUGGUUCUGGUAGGAAGCUAGGUUCCAGCCAAUUUCUGGUGACUCAGAUGCGUUUCCAAUGAACCAAACGGUGGCCCGAAUAGAUGCGAGUCGCAGCCGCAAGCUUUUCCGACACCCACUGUCGUAAUGUUUGCACCUAUUCGAUUAGGGUUUGUUUGAACGGUUUAGGACAAAGUUGGUAAGACUUGGUCAAUAUAGAAGUUAUGGAGGAGUUCUUUGGUGGAAAUCGGUUCAGGUUAGAAAGGGUUUAUAGGGACGUACAGAGGAGUGGCAUCUGAGGGGUCGGAUUCGAGAUAAUAUCUCCUGUCCAGAAGGGGCAACGGGCUGAGAAGAAACAAGAGAUUUCAGACUUUGGCUCUGCAACGGUUGAUUUCGGAACUGAUUUGGCUGUUUGAAAGCACAUAGAAUUCAAUCCGGGGACUUUGAUGCUUUUCAUUUGAGGCAAAGGCUUCCCUAUGUAGUCAGCAAAUUGCACAGCUGGACUUGGCAGCGCUCCUGCUACUGCAGUAUGCAUACAUAGUUAAACUUCUGUGUGUGUGUUUAUAUGUCUUUUAGAGCGUUUGCAGGCAGUCUACAACGCUAAUGGAAAGGAUUUUCAUCAGGAACAAUGGUCGUACAAUGGUUGUUGCUGAUAACUUCAAGGCUUAAAAGAGCCACGAGGAUCUUUGUAGCUUGCAUGGGUAACGAUGACACAACUGCAAAGUGAAGCGAGGAUACAAUAAAAGGCUACUUCUUACCAUAUAAGUGAUGGCAUUAAGAUACAAAUCGUUAUAAAAAGUCAUUUGCGGAACACAUAUAUAAGUUAAAUGCGACUAAGCCGCUGUUUGAGCAACAUCAUAGGGACCAGUUUGAAAUUUCCUCUUUAUGUUUCAU